rnacentral:rRNA from 1 species
UACGUAGGGUGCAAGCGUUAAUCGGAAUUACUGGGCGUAAAGCGUGCGCAGGCGGUUUUGUAAGUCUGUCGUGAAAUCCCCGGGCUCAACCUGGGAAUUGCGAUGGAGACUGCAAGGCUAGAAUCUGGCAGAGGGGGGUAGAAUUCCACGUGUAGCAGUGAAAUGCGUAGAGAUGUGGAGGAACACCGAUGGCGAAGGCAGCCACCUGGGUCAAGAUUGACGCUCAUGCACGAAAGCGUGGGGAGCAAACAGG